GGUUGCUCACAUUAGUGUAAGUGGUGAGGCCAAACCUGGGUCCCAUAGGCCAGGCCUACUCUGACGAGUCGGUACCCAACUGUAGGCGUUGCCUCAGGAGUGGCCCUAUAUGGUACCCUCAAAAUCUCGUAAAAAUCGGAUGAGCCGUCGGUCUGAAGAUGCUAGAUACCAAGUUUCGUGCAGAUCGGUUGCACGGUCUAGGAGGAGUCCGAAAAAGUAGGUUUACGAUAAAUCACGAUUUUUCAC